rnacentral:lncRNA from 1 species
CAAAACUGUGGUGUGACUCAUGUACGGGGUUUCCCCAAAUAAAAUAAAUAGGGUGUCCUCUAGAAAAGUUACUCAGUACUAUAUAGUACAUGUUAGAUAUAGGAUAGCUAUUUAUCUUCCUUCACCAUAAAAGAAAUGGUUAAAAUACAAAUGACUUACAAAUAUAUACCGAUAAAACUCUUGAAACACUAACUCAUCAUUUCCAUUCUCCUAGGAGUUAGCAAUGACUCAUGGAAAACUUGUGGAACUGCUAAACAUAUUAUACUUUCACCUCAGUUUGCACUGUUAGAGCAUCAACUCAAGGUCAAGGUUUUCUAAACACCAAGGAUGUGGCUUGGACUUUCAAGUUUUAGUUUGAUUCCAGUAGGAGCAAUCCCCUACUCUAAAAAAUAGUACAGUUUCAGAAAGCACCUCCUGCUUCCGAUUUUAAGAGGACAGAAGAAGCCUUGGCUGGUCACCUGGGGAGUGAGUGCCCUGUGGCUUUGUUAUUUAAAGGAAAGGGAAACUUCCAUGUCGAAAAUAGCCUUGGGGUGGAAGAGGUUGGGCUUGGACAUCAUCUCUCCCCUGAAGGUAAAGGGAGACCCAGUGCCAUAGCAAAGCACUGCAUGCAAACCC